UUCUUCAUUUAGACUCUUCUGGAUGCUCCUACACAAAGAACCUCCCUAAUCUGUGCUUUUGGUCAUAUUACACUUCUUGGAUUUCACAAGUCAUUAAGUACCAUGUCCCACCCACCAUCUCUCAUUCAGUAUUGAAAAGAGGGGAUCAGCUCCUUCUGUCAGCCAUUCCAGAUGAUUAUUUAUAUUAUAGUCUAGAAUUUAAAGCAAACACCCUCUUUUCUCAAAUUCUGCUGUGAGAAUUGUCUUGUGCUAACCUGUAAAGCUGUGUUUGUACCUAGCUAGUGUGAAAACUUAACAAGAGUUAAUGUGCCAGCACUAGGGGCUGCACAUCAAUAGGACUGACAGCCUGAGAUUUGCUUACCCAAACAUUGGCAUUUUAGGCAUUGUUCACUUUCUCUUACUGCUGCAUAGGGAUGUCAGAGUAGUAAAACAUAUCCUAAGUGACACUGGACCCCUUCACUUAGGAAACUGAAUCCCUCUUAUAUUUUCUUGUUUCCUUAUUUCAUACAUAUCCUAAUCAUAUAAUUAUCAAAUGGAUUUUUAUACAGGGUUGGGUUGGAAGGGACCUCAAAGAUCAUGUACUUCCAACCUUCCCAUCAUGGGUAGGAGUACCUUUCACUAAAUCAGGUUGUCCACACACUCAAGACAUUUGGGAAGACAGGUUGUCAUUGAAGACUGAAGCAAAAAAAUUAGAGUAUCUCAGUCCUUCUCCUCAUCUUUUGUUACCAGCUUUCCAGCAUUGUAUAUCAGAUGUCUAGGAGGUUGAAGUUCCUCAGCAGGAUGGGAAACUGUGAGCACAAUGCCUCCUGUAGCUGGAACAAGAAGGCUUGGCAAGCUCUUUAAUUGAACUCUUAAGAACACACUGUGCAUUCAGAACCUUUGCAUACAGAAGAUGCAUUUAAGAAGUUGUUAAUAGAGUCUGGAUGGUGAAGCAUGGGUGAUCAUUCUCUGCACAAGUGCAAUUCUACACAUAAAUGGACACAAGUAUUUGGAUUCAAUAUGAAGUAUACAGUAAGGGGAUGGAGGAAGGAAGUGAAUUAGAGUGUCACAAGUGAAGCACCUCAUAUGCAGAGCCCCCUGCAUAAUUUGUCAUCAAGAAGAAGAAGCACUGGGAAAGGAGCCAGAAAUGUUGAGAUUAAUAAAAUAGGGUCCUUUGACUAAGAGAGUUACACAUUUCCCCAGAGAAUAGGUUUCCAUCCCUGCCACUGCCAAAAGGUUGCUGAGUAACGUUUAUGCACAAGCACUAAGGCUCAGAUGAGACUUAGACAUUCCUGCUGACACUAAAAAGGCUAUAAAUUAGGCAUUUGGCUCAGGAAAGAAAAUGUAAGUUAGAUCCCCAUCUUUACUCCAACAUCGGUAAAAUGGGGAGCCUGAGGCAGCUGGGAGCAGGUGUCACAAUACCAGACAUGCAAAAUGACACAUCUCCCUUGUGACUUAAAUCUGACUUUUAUUUGUUCUGUCCUCUUUUUCUCCAACUUCUUCCCAUUGAAAUCACAAGAUUUCAUUCCCUUUCCUGAAAGCAAAUUCUUCCUUGUGAUUUCAGUGAGAAUCAAUUGGCAAGCUCCUGUCCAUUUCCUGGCACUUCAUGUCAUCCUGUUCAUUCUUACUGUUUUCCCUUCCCUUCCUUUCCUUUCUUUUUUUAUCAUUUCAUGCCUUCAAUUUCUUCUCCUGUCUCUUUGUUUGCCUUCCUUCCCUGACUGACCUUACUCCCAGGUGUGUUUGCCCAGUCAGUUCUAGGUUCCAGGACCAACAUCAUUCCAUUCUUACAUUUCAUCCAGUAAUUCAUAGGUCCAGACUUCUUGGCCAGCUACUACCCAGGCAUCAAUUUGCUGCUAAAAAUUUUCUGGCCUCUGCUUGCUUCAGCUUCUGCAACAUGCAUUUCUUUCUCUAUGUUGUCUGUACCUAACUUAGAAGAGACAUGAGGAGGAAAAAAGGAUAUCCUCUGAGUUCUCAUGGACAAAUAUUUCCAUAUAAGUAUUUGGAAAUACUGGGAACGUUUUUGGUAGUAUUUUAGACUGUUUUAUUUUCAGCAGUCUGAAAUUCCCAUCUCCAUGGCUUUAAAUAUUUUUUCAAUUUCUUCAGGAAUAUGUUGGAUUUGGGGGAUUUGGGAGGAGAAGGAUGUGUUUGUGUCUUCCCAGAACAAGGAAUUUGUUCACUGUGAGCAUACAAGUGAAUGGGAACCAGAAAGAAAUAGAAAACAAAGACUACAACUCAUGCUGCAUUUUUCCUAAAAUAACCAUAUCAUGGUGAAAAAAUUCCAUGUGUUCUCACCCACUAAAUGUGUGUUUCUUUGCCAAUGAUUUUCAUUCGUGGUUAUUGUCAAGCAACCAUAGAGUCAAUGUCUACAUGAGGCACAUAGCGACAGAGUUCAGCAAAAUGCGUACCUGAGAAAAUUUAUGUAGUUAGACAUCAGUAAAUCCAAAGCAUCACUGCAGCUACAGUGACUGAUGUUGUCUACUUCACUAACAUGAGUACAGAACAAGAUAAUGCAUGUAGAACAAGAUAUGUGAUUAUCAUGGACGGUAAUUUCCAAAAUGAUCAUGUCAGAUGUUGUGUUGUCAUGAUUUCGCAGCUCAGUGCUCAUGGCAAAGAAAUCACCCUUCCACAAAGUGGCUGAGCUCAGGAGAGAGUUGGAAAGGACAGUAUAUUCCUGUCAGAGUAGCAAACCACACUGCAGUAAUUAUAAGGAACAAAACAGGCAAUCCCCUGCUGUCUCACUUGUCUCAGUUGCUUCUAAGUUAGGUUGAGGGAAAAAAAGCUACAAGACGGGACCUGCCCAGUAUUGAACAUUACUUCUAGGAGCAUGUUUUCCUUGUUCUUUCAUCCUUAGUUGACCUGAAAACAUAUUGCAAUAAAGUUUUGCUUCUGGGUGUUCAGCUCAAAGUGAGCUUCUAGCAUUACUUUAUACAUUGCAAAUUAGAUUACAGGAAAUGUAAAUUAUUUCUGCAGCCUAAUCUUUUAAGUGUUCUCAAAAAAUAAAUAGUUCAAUGUAUAUUAGUUCAACAUCUGGUAUGUUUGAUCUUUCUGAGAAACCAUUGUGUAAAGCAAUAUGCUACAGAACCUUGCUAUUUCUUAUCUUUCACUAUCUGCUGCAGGGAACUAUUGGAAACACCAUUGCAAAAGGGAUCAAAUGAUAUUUCAUAUGUAUGGAAUUGGAUAAUUAAGUUAAUGUAAUUCUAUUCUUCAUGUGUGAAAACUGGAUUGCCCUGAAAUUCAUAGACUGAAAUAGAAUGGUGAAGAAAUCUCAGUUAACUGAGAUGUAGUAAAUUUACAGUACAAAGCUGGCAUGAAAACCAUUUUGUCUUCAAUGGCACCAUAUGAUACCUUUCUAAAAACCAAUUGCAGUAUCCAUUUAAGGAUUCAUUUACAGAGUACAUUCAUUAAAUGAACCACGUUUCCUACUGUACCAUGAAGUAAUUAGUUCUGGAAAACUCAAUUGUGCCAGCCCUGAAUUACAUUUAUAAAUUGCACUCAAAAUGCAGGUACCCAUCUAAACAAAAGAAAAUUAAUUGUUCAGUUGUCUAAAUAAUUCAGGAAAGAGAUUUCUAAUACAUGUUCAGACUGAUGGACUUUUCAAGGGAGACAUUAUGCAAUGGCACUGUGCCAAAUA